CGAGUGGCGAACGGGCGAGUAACACGUGGGUGAUCUGCCCUGCACUCUGGGAUAAGCCUGGGAAACUGGGUCUAAUACCGGAUAGGACCAUGCUUUAGUGUGUGUGGUGGAAAGUUUUUCGGUGUAGGAUGAGCCCGCGGCCUAUCAGCUUGUUGGUGGGGUAAUGGCCUACCAAGGCGGCGACGGGUAGCCGGACUGAGAGGUUGGUCGGCCACAUUGGGACUGAGAUACGGCCCAG
rnacentral:rRNA from 1 species